AAAUGGUCUUCUCAUUCUCAUUCCAUGAUAAAAAUGUUUCCCAAGCUCUACUUGUGUUUGUCAUUUUCAGUGAUUUUGAUUCUAGUUGAUUUUUGUGCAAAAUCAAUUGAAGAAGAGAUGUUCUUUUAUCCUGUGGAUGAUGGGGCAAUAUUCUGUUUGCACAAUUUCGAGCAUAGCUGCAAAACAUCUUAAAGAGUGCGUGUUGCAUGACUCAACUGUCUACUAACCUUGCUUCUAUUUUGCAGUUUUUGUUCUAGUGUUGAUCUGCCUUGUCGUUGCUGUUUUUAUUUCUAUGUAAUAGUACUGCUAAUUGAUCGAGCCGUGAGUUGAUGACCGAAGUGCAACAACAAGUUGACUUUGAGUUUAAAAUACUUUUACCACUGUCGAUUGAAGUCAUCCCUUCUGUAGUAUGAACGGUCCUAGUGAUAUGUAACAGUUGUAACCACAAUUGUAAAAAGAGUACUAAGCUGAAGUAACAUGGAAAAAGAACAAGUAACACAACAACAUUUGUUAACCCAGUUCGAUAAAUAUGCAUCUACAUCUGGGGGGCAGUUUGCCCAGGAUAGAAGAUUGUAUUAAUCACAAAUACAAUAACAGUUGAAUACAUAGUUAUGACUGGAGGUACAACACUUUGCACAUUUAUCAUCGUGCUGUCCUAGAACUGUUGCAACAAAACUAAAUAUGUAAGAAUACAAUAGUCAUAACUCAUAAGAAGGACAGAAUAUCUCCCCCUCAAUCUCAGUUCUAAAGAUGAUGUAUUCAACUCAAGCCCCGAACAACUUGAUGAUUCUUCUAUUGGUCUUUC